CGAUAGCGUAUAUUAAAGUUGUUGCAGUUAAAAAGCUCGUAGUUGGAUUUCUGGAUGGAGCGACCGGUCGGGCAUUAAUUUGUCUGCACUGGAGUCGGUUCCGUCCAUCCUCUUGGAAAGUGCGUCGGGCAUUAAGUUGUUUGGUGUAUGAUCCAAGUCGUUUACUGUGAAAAAAUUAGAGUGUUUAAAGCAGGCCUUCGCCUUGAAUACAUUAGCAUGGAAUAAUAAGAUAGGACUUUGGUCUAUUUUGUUGGUUUGCAGACCGAAGUAAUGAUUAAUAGGGAUAGUUGGGGGUAUUUAUAUUCCGAUGUCAGAGGUGAAAUUCUUAGAUUUUCGGAAGAUAAACUUAUGCGAAAGCAUUUACCAAGGAUGUUUUCAUUAA
rnacentral:rRNA from 1 species